CGAGGUAUUACCCCGAAGCCACGCUAAAGGGCUGUAAGAAUACUCACUGUCUCCAGCUGAACAGACCUUUUAUACUGUGGGGAGAACGUGAAGAGCUGACUAAAAAUAUGCUGAACUGUUACAUAGACAGAGACCGAGGAAAUCCUUAUUUGUCUUAACACUCCAGCACUGUGGACUGCAAGAAAAAAGCUGUCCUUUGCAGUUCCAGCAGCGGAUCUCUGCUGGGUCUCUGUUUCCAGACUGGCACCUGCCUGUGAAAAGUGCGGCUCCGUGCUCUGGGGAUGAUGUGUCCCAGUGUGCUGCAACUGGCAGAAAUUCCAGAUGCUCUGGGCUUACCUGUGCUUUGUGUGAGGUGACAUGGAGUGGCACUCCCCUGGAGAUUCCCUGUUGUGUAGGGCAGGUGCUUAGAGUCUGAACUAACUCCAGGAAGGGGCUGAUGUUUCUCAAGAUGUUGUUACAUCAGUGGCCACCCGGAGUGAAUGUGUCGUUCUGUUACUGAUCUCAGCAGCAUCACACAGAGAUCUUCUGGUACAACUUUAUGGAAAAUGGAAAGACCAAGUUUCUAAAUUUCCUGAGAAAGUCAACAUUUUCUUCAUAAGCUAUUCCGUGUCUACUAUACCAGUGCUAAUUUAUACUGUCAUUACCAGGUAGUCAAUAGAAGGGCUGGAACAUUUCUAGAUGUGUUUUCCCGCUGAGGAAAGCAUCUGUAAUUGAAAUUUGUAUUAGAGAUUAUUAAAUGCUUCAGCUAAUAAAAUACUCCUGUACAA